rnacentral:lncRNA from 1 species
GGCUAGUUGUGGUAUUGCUGGAUCAAAGGGUGUUAUAAGAUAAGUUCAGAGCAGUGUUAGCUUACUGCUUUAAAAUUCUUUGUUUUGCUUUUCUAGAGAAGAAUAUUUUCACUUCUGUCUUUAAAAAGAUUUCUUUUCUGCUGGAAAGCAGUGAAGCUGCAGAAAAGGAAAACAUCAUAGCUAAAGAAACUACCACCACAAUGGAAAACCUUCCUAAUGAUGAUUUUAUUCUAGAAUGUCUCUGGAGAACCAGAAAAAUGGAAUUGAAAAGACAGGAGCUGGCCAUGCAAGCAGCCUGGGAAUGUAAAGCUCAGAAAUUUCUCACUGAAAUCAGAGAGAUACAUGCCAUGGAAAAGAAGGAAACUUCAAAAGAACAAAACAUGACUGAGAAUGAAAACAUAAUUUAUGAUGCUCCAACUCUAGCAUAUUUCCGGAGAAUCAGAGAAAAUGCAUUCAAAAAACUAGAGUUGGAAAGAAAUACAGCCUGGGAAGAAAAAGCCCUGAAAUUGAUCAGUGAAUUGAAAGAGAUGUGUGCC